AUGGAAAGAGAGUGUGCAGCGGAGGUGGUGCAGUCGAAGAGGUUUGCAGCGGUACUGUGGUGGCGAGAUCCGCGGUUUUACCGAAAAAGCUUGCAAAUCCGACAAUGUGGUGUCGCAGUUGUUGAGUUUCACUUCUCCUUUGAAAAUGCUGGAUCUGAUGUUAGAUGGGUAGGAAAUGAAAAAGGGAUUGCAGGAGACUCAGACAUUGGAGGAAUCGAAUUGGGGAAUGAAUUUGAUGAUAUGAAGGCUUAUCAACUCUGA